rnacentral:sRNA from 1 species
GCCGCGCUAAACUACGACCGUCUGAGAUC